rnacentral:rRNA from 1 species
CCUAAAAGGCUAAACAAACUUGGAAAUAGCUGGUUCUCUCCGAAAACUAUUUAGGUAGUGCCUCAAGUAUCACCAUCGGGGGUAGAGCACUGUUAUGGCUAGGGGGUCAUCGCGACUUACCAACCCAUUGCAAACUCCGAAUACCGAUGAGUGCGAGCUUGGGAGACAGACGUCGGGUGCUAACGUCCGGCGUCAAGAGGGAAACAACCCAGACCGCCAGCUAAGGUCCCAAAGAUUGGCUAAGUGGAAAACGAAGUGGGAAGGCUAAAACAGUCAGGAGGUUGGCUUAGAAGCAGCCACCCUUUAAAGAAAGCGUAAUAGCUCACUGAUCGAGUCGUCCUGCGCGGAAGAUGUAACGGGGCUAAGCCAGUCACCGAAGCUGCGGAUAUCAAUUUAUUGAUAUGGUAGGAGAGCGUUCUGUAAGCCUGCGAAGGUGUCUUGUAAAGGAUGCUGGAGGUAUCAGAAGUGCGAAUGCUGACAUGAGUAGCGAUAAUGGGGGUGAAAAGCCCCCACGCCGUAAGCCCAAGGUUUCCUGUUCAACGUUCAUCGGAGCAGGGUGAGUCGGCCCCUAAGGCGAGGCAGAGAUGCGUAGCUGAUGGGAAGCAGGUUAAUAUUCCUGCACCGUCGUUAGAUGCGAUGGGGGGACGGAUCGCGGAAGGUUGUCCGGGUGUUGGAUGUCCCGGUUUCUGUAUCAGAGAAGGCUGUUAGGCAAAUCCGGCAGCGUAAUUCAAGGGUAUGGGACGAGCGAACUUGUUCGCGAAGCAAUCGGAAGUGGUUCCAAGAAAAGCCUCUAAGCUUCAGUCUAACGAGACCGUACCGCAAACCGACACAGGUGGGCGAGAUGAGUAUUCUAAGGCGCUUGAGAGAACUCGGGAGAAGGAACUCGGCAAAUUUGUACCGUAACUUCGGGAUAAGGUACGCCCUAGUAGUUUGACUGGCCUGCGCCAGGAGGACAAACGGGUUGCAAUAAAAAGGUGGCUGCGACUGUUUAAUAAAAACACAGCACUCUGCAAACACGAAAGUGGACGUAUAGGGUGUGACGCCUGCCCGGUGCUGGAAGAUUAAAUGAUGGGGUGCAAGCUCUUGAUUGAAGUCCCAGUAAACGGCGGCCGUAACAAUAACGGUCCUAAGGUAGCGAAAUUCCUUGUCGGGUAAGUUCCGACCUGCACGAAUGGCGUAACGAUGGCCACACUGUCUCCUCCCGAGACUCAGCGAAGUUGAAAUGUUUGUGAUGAUGCAAUCUACCCGCGGCUAGACGGAAAGACCCCAUGAACCUUUACUGUAGCUUUGCAUUGGACUUUGAACCAAUCUGUGUAGGAUAGGUGGGAGGCUUUGAAGUAGGGACGCCAGUCUCUAUGGAGCCAUCCUUGAAAUACCACCUUGGUUUGUUUGAGGUUCUAACCUUGGUCCGUUAUCCGGAUCGGGGACAGUGCAUGGUAGGCAGUUUGACUGGGGCGGUCUCCUCUC